CAUCUUAGUGGCGGACGGGUGAGUAACGCGCGGGUAACCUGCCUUAUACAGGGGGAUAACACUUAGAAAUAGGUGCUAAUACCGCAUAAGCGCACGGGGCUACAUGGCCUAGUGUGAAAAACUCCGGUGGUAUAAGAUGGACCCGCGUCUGAUUAGCUUGUUGGCGGGGUAACGGCCCACCAAGGCGACGAUCAGUAGCCGGCCUGAGAGGGUGGACGGCCACAUUGGGACUGAGACACGGCCCAAACUCCUACGGAAGGCAGCAG
rnacentral:rRNA from 1 species